rnacentral:lncRNA from 1 species
AAAACAAAAAGGAGACGGGACUGCAAAAGUUGCAUGCAACCCAAUUCUCAGAGAUGAGCUAUUUAUGCCAAGCCCGGAUCUCACUCAAAGUCUGUGGCAGUCAAUCCCCUUGACUGCCAUGCAGGCAGGAUUUGGCCCUGGUAAAGUAUCCGCCUGCAUUCCCAGCUGCUUGGUCCAGCUGCUGCGAAGGAAUGCGGGGCUGCCAGCAGAAAAAUAUUUCCAGCUCAGCGCCUGGAUCUAAACUUUGUCAGUGCUGAAUCUGAUAAAGCAGAUCCCUGCUUGACAAUAAUUCAAUUUAGCUUCUUCUUCCUCCCCAGCAUUCACAUCAUGUUUGAGCCAGCUACUCAAAUGAAUCUAGCUCUCACCAUUUGAAAGAGACAUGUAUGUUGAUGAGCAGUAUGGGGAAGGAAAGCAGAGUUACACGUGUGCGCCUGUUAAUUUUACGGCAAAUUACAGCCCAGUAUCCAAUACAAUACUUCUAUAGGUCUGAAGCCAGAUCCUGUGAGCCAACAAGAGUUUCACCACUUUGUAACAUGCUACAGAGAAUUAGAUGACAGUUUGCACAAAAGCACUUUGAGGAGGGAUUAAAACAAGUAAAUAAACACGUUGCAGUCAUUUUAGCACUCUGGUUUAAGCAGAAAUGUUUGAAGGCAUAAAAGCCAGUUAAUUCCUAUUGGAAAUCAAUAGAAGCUGGGGAAAUACAGCACUCUGUCCUUUGACUAUGGUCUGCCCUAAUCUCUGCUUUCUCUGAAAUAAGAUUGAAAUGUAAGGUGCUCAUUGAUUUUGCAACUGCCCCCAGAUUUCCCACCUAACUGGAAAAGCUGUCUCUGUAAAAACCUCAUUCAUCACACUCUGAACUUCACCCUCUCCAGGCGAAUCAGCUGUCACUAAAGCUCAAAUAUAAAUCUUGCUAUAACAUCGCCAUGCUUUUCAGGGUAAAAUUCAGAAGAUAAGCUAUUUCCACGAAAAAAAUAAAAUAAAAAAUUAAAAAAAUAAGCGUCUCUUUCAGCCCCGGUUUUGCAUCCACCUCCGGCUCGCUCUAUCCCUGGCUGUGUCUGAUACACAGUGUGCUGUCUUGCCCGAGAAACCCGGGGGCACCACUGGCUCUGCCUGUUGACCACAGCGAUUUCUGACUGAUGACUUGAAGCGGAGCCACGGGUCCUGUCGCCAGCGCCGUAAACCCGGGAGGGAAAAGCCGAAUUACAGCAGAGCGGCCGGGAAAACUUUCGAGGAACCUCCCGCAGCCUGCAUCUGCCGGGCGGCUUUUGAGAGAAACCCAGGAGAACGGGGCGCUCGCGGUUUACCCCCAGCGCCGGGGCUGAGGGUACCUCGGCGGCAGCCCCCCUCGCUCCGCACCAUCCGCGCUGUCCCCGGGACGGCACCUGCCCGCUGCGCUCCGCGCUGCC